AGCAAACGCUGGCGGCGUGCCUAACACAUGCAAGUCGUACGAGAAAAUUCGCUUCGGCGAGUAAGUAAAGUGGCGCACGGGUGAGUAACGCGUGGAUAAUCUACCCUUUAGCUGGGGAUAACUCAUCGAAAGGUGGGCUAAUACCCGAUAAUACUGCUUCUACUGCGGUUGAGCAGUCAAAGGUAGCCUCUGUUUACAAGCUUCCACUGAAGGAUGAGUCCGCGUACCAUUAGCUAGUUGGUAGGGUAAUGGCCUACCAAGGCGACGAUGGUUAGCUGGUCUGAGAGGAUGAUCAGCCACACUGGAACUGAGACACGGUCCAGACUCCUACGGGAGGCAGCAGUGAGGAAUCUUGCGCAAUGGGGGAAACCCUGACGCAGCAACGCCGCGUGAGUGAGGAAGGUUUUCGGAUCGUAAAGCUCUGUCAGGUGGGAAGAAAUGUAUAGGGGUUAACAGCCCUUAUUCUUGACGGUACCACCAGAGGAAGCACCGGCCAACUCCGUGCCAGCAGCCGCAGUAACAC
rnacentral:rRNA from 1 species